rnacentral:rRNA from 1 species
GUGGGGAAUCUUCCGCAAUGGACGAAAGUCUGACGGAGCAACGCCGCGUGAGUGAUGAAGGUCUUCGGAUUGUAAAGCUCUGUUAAUCGGGACGAAAGAGCCUAGUGUGAAUAAUGCUAGGAAGUGACGGUACCGGAAUAGAAAGCCACGGCUAACUACGUGCCAGCAGCCGCGGUAAUACGUAGGUGGCAAGCGUUGUCCGGAAUUAUUGGGCGUAAAGCGCGCGCAGGCGGAUCUGCCAGUCUGUCUUAAAAGUUCGGGGCUUAACCCCGUGAUGGGAUGGAAACUACAGAUCUAGAGUAUCGGAGAGGAAAGUGGAAUUCCUAGUGUAGCGGUGAAAUGCGUAGAUAUUAGGAAGAACACCAGUGGCGAAGGCGACUUUCUGGACGAUGUCUGACGCUGAGGCGCGAAAGCUAGGGGAGCGAACGGGAUUAGAAACCCGAGUAGUCC